AUUGAACGCUGGCGGCAUGCCUUACACAUGCAAGUCGAACGGCAGCACGGGGCAACCUGGUGGCGAGUGGCGAACGGGUGAGUAAUGCAUCGGAACGUACCUUUCAGUGGGGGAUAACGUAGCGAAAGUUACGCUAAUACCGCAUAUUCUGUGAGCAGGAAAGCAGGGGAUCGCAAGACCUUGCGCUGAUUGAGCGGCCGAUGUCAGAUUAGCUAGUUGGUGAGGUAAAGGCACACCAAGGCGACGAUCUGUAGCGGGUGUGAGAGGAUGUUCCCCCACGCUGGAACUGAGACGCGGUCCAGACUCCUCCGGGAGCCAGCAGUGGGGAAUUUUGGACAAUUGGGGCAACCCUGAUCCAGCCAUGCCGCGUGAGUGAAGAAGGCCAUCGGGUUGUAAAGCUCUUUCGGCCGGGAAGAAAUCGCACGGGCUAAUACCCUGUGUGGAUGACGGUACCGGAAUAAGAAGCACCGGCUAACUACGUGCCAGCCGCCGCUGUAAAAC
rnacentral:rRNA from 1 species